CUCAGGGACUUUAGACAACUGGGGUUCUGCAGGGGCCCAUUUAGGCCCCUGGGCCGGGUCCUCUGCGCAAGCGCCAACCGAGGAGCCGCAGGGGCGAGAGGGAACCGGAAGCGGAAAAGGCCAAGGGCGAAGACGCACCCCAGUGAAGGUGUGAGUUUGCGCUUUGGGUAGGACCUCCUUUCUUCCUCUUCUACAGUUCCGUAGACUCCUUCUAGAAACUUCGGAACUGUUUUCUGAAAUUAGCCUUUGACACAAACAGUGACACAGGAUCCUGGUAACUUUUUCAGUUCCUGAAAUUCACAACUUCCCAAACCUGUUCCACUCCGCACACAAGGAACCACAGAUACUGGUGCGACAGUCAGAGUGAAUGAAGAGGCUGCUCACUGUUGGAGGUGUCAGUAGGAUAAAUACCUACAGGGGGACUUGAUGGAUCACAGGCUGUGCACAUUUCAGAUGUUGAUAUCUGUUACUUGGAAUGGGCUAUGACUGAAUACCAGAUGGGAAGAGGAUCAUACGUUUCUGUUAUAUCUGGAUCUAGAUCAACCGGAGGACCUGUGGAAAUCAAUGGAGUAAAGGCUGGAAUCCAAACAAAAUUUGUUGAAGAGAUGAAAAUGUCAAGUGUUCUGUUAGUGCUGUUGAAAGAAUCCAUGAAUUAGGAAAAGAUUUAUCUUUCUGCAGCAGUGCAACUCUCCUUUUGGAGUGUCUGUCCUCACAUGGACUGUCACCUGCUGCAGGGCAAAAUCUAGUGAGAACAACAGACGGCUCUUUGGUGAAGGGGAACCUUGGCAGGAUUUGGCAAGAGCCCAAGAUUGUGAAUAAAUAAUCAUUUAAAAUGUUAGUUUAUUAUUAAAUGAAGCCUGAUUUAAAAAGAUCAGUAACAGGACUUCCAGCAAUGGGAAUGUAACAUACUUGGACUAAUUAUGUCACUUCUUAGGUAAGGAGUUAGUUGUUAGCAGCUAACCACCUGCCAUGUGUUAAAAAAUAAGAGGCUUUAGGUUCUUUUCUUGAAAUAGAACAUUUUUGAAAUGGAGGUGCUGUAAUUUUGCCAAGUGUUGAUGA